rnacentral:rRNA from 1 species
UCAUUGAGCAUCAAACUUUUAAAUUGAAGAGUUUGAUCAUGGCUCAGAUUGAACGCUGGCGGCAGGCCUAACACAUGCAAGUCGAGCGGUAGCACAGAGAGCUUGCUCUCGGGUGACGAGCGGCGGACGGGUGAGUAAUGUCUGGGAAACUGCCUGAUGGAGGGGGAUAACUACUGGAAACGGUAGCUAAUACCGCAUAACGUCGCAAGACCAAAGAGGGGGACCUUCGGGCCUCUUGCCAUCAGAUGUGCCCAGAUGGGAUUAGCUAGUAGGUGGGGUAACGGCUCACCUAGGCGACGAUCCCUAGCUGGUCUGAGAGGAUGACCAGCCACACUGGAACUGAGACACGGUCCAGACUCCUACGGGAGGCAGCAGUGGGGAAUAUUGCACAAUGGGCGCAAGCCUGAUGCAGCCAUGCCGCGUGUAUGAAGAAGGCCUUCGGGUUGUAAAGUACUUUCAGCGGGGAGGAAGGUGUUGAGGUUAAUAACCUCAGCAAUUGACGUUACCCGCAGAAGAAGCACCGGCUAACUCCGUGCCAGCAGCCGCGGUAAUACGGAGGGUGCAAGCGUUAAUCGGAAUUACUGGGCGUAAAGCGCACGCAGGCGGUCUGUCAAGUCGGAUGUGAAAUCCCCGGGCUCAACCUGGGAACUGCAUUCGAAACUGGCAGGCUAGAGUCUUGUAGAGGGGGGUAGAAUUCCAGGUGUAGCGGUGAAAUGCGUAGAGAUCUGGAGGAAUACCGGUGGCGAAGGCGGCCCCCUGGACAAAGACUGACGCUCAGGUGCGAAAGCGUGGGGAGCAAACAGGAUUAGAUACCCUGGUAGUCCACGCCGUAAACGAUGUCGAUUUGGAGGUUGUUCCCUUGAGGAGUGGCUUCCGGAGCUAACGCGUUAAAUCGACCGCCUGGGGAGUACGGCCGCAAGGUUAAAACUCAAAUGAAUUGACGGGGGCCCGCACAAGCGGUGGAGCAUGUGGUUUAAUUCGAUGCAACGCGAAGAACCUUACCUACUCUUGACAUCCAGAGAACUUUCCAGAGAUGGAUUGGUGCCUUCGGGAACUCUGAGACAGGUGCUGCAUGGCUGUCGUCAGCUCGUGUUGUGAAAUGUUGGGUUAAGUCCCGCAACGAGCGCAACCCUUAUCCUUUGUUGCCAGCGGUCCGGCCGGGAACUCAAAGGAGACUGCCAGUGAUAAACUGGAGGAAGGUGGGGAUGACGUCAAGUCAUCAUGGCCCUUACGAGUAGGGCUACACACGUGCUACAAUGGCGCAUACAAAGAGAAGCGACCUCGCGAGAGCAAGCGGACCUCAUAAAGUGCGUCGUAGUCCGGAUUGGAGUCUGCAACUCGACUCCAUGAAGUCGGAAUCGCUAGUAAUCGUAGAUCAGAAUGCUACGGUGAAUACGUUCCCGGGCCUUGUACACACCGCCCGUCACACCAUGGGAGUGGGUUGCAAAAGAAGUAGGUAGCUUAACCUUCGGGAGGGCGCUUACCACUUUGUGAUUCAUGACUGGGGUGAAGUCGUAACAAGGUAACCGUAGGGGAACCUGCGGUUGGAUCACCUCCUUA